rnacentral:sRNA from 2 species
GUUAUAUAUUACAAUCUCUAAUAGAUUCUGUCUGUUUGACUAUAAAAUCUAUUCAAUCUGAUAAUGUGAUGACUCUAUAGUAUAAGAUAAACACAGUAUAUACAAUAUCUCUAGAAGAGAAAAGAAUUAAUAUUCUCAAAGAAUUUAUUCAUUUAUAUGUCAAGAAUGGUGAUUAUCUGAUGUAUAUAUAUUGAUAUCACUAUCUAUCUGCUUAUAUAUAACAAUUAAUGAAGAACUGUAGUGAGAACUAUUUUUAUAAUUUCUUUAUUAUUAAUCUUCAAAAUUAUUAAAGAAUCUAUAUCAAAUUAUGUUUUGAUAUAUUCUAUAAAAUGAGUCAGAGUCUGAUUAUCAAUCUAAAUAUUAAUAAUCUCACAAAAUAAAUUGCUUACUGAAUGAGUAAGUCAGAGGAUUCUGAAUAUCUCAAAGCUUCAAAGAUCAACACAGUUAUCAAUGAUAAUAAUGAUAAUAUUACAAUUAUUAUUAUAAUCUUAUAAUACAGAUACUGUAAGAUUUCAGAGUAUAUAAAGAUUAAUUAUUAUUAUCUGAACUCUGACAAAGUAUCUGAGUAAUGAAGAAAGAAGAAUAAAAAUAAUAAAAGCACUGAUAAUACUAAGAAUACUAAAAAAAAGAGAAAGAAUA